rnacentral:tRNA from 1 species
GCACCCAUAGUUCAACGGAUAGAAUGAAGGAUUGCGGAUCCUUUGAUACAGGUUCGAUUCCUGUUGGGUGCA